rnacentral:rRNA from 1 species
AUUGAACGCUGGCGGCAGGCCUAACACAUGCCAGUCGAGCGGAUGAAGGGAGCUUGCUCCUGGAUUCAGCGGCGGACGGGUGAGUAAUGCCUAGGAAUCUGCCUGGUAGUGGGGGAUAACGUCCGGAAACGGGCGCUAAUACCGCAUACGUCCUGAGGGAGAAAGUGGGGGAUCUUCGGACCUCACGCUAUCAGAUGAGCCUAGGUCGGAUUAGCUAGUUGGUGGGGUAAAGGCCUACCAAGGCGACGAUCCGUAACUGGUCUGAGAGGAUGAUCAGUCACACUGGAACUGAGACACGGUCCAGACGCCUACGGGAGGCAGCAGUGGGGAAUAUUGGACAAUGGGCGAAAGCCUGAUCCAGCCAUGCCGCGUGUGUGAAGAAGGUCUUCGGAUUGUAAAGCACUUUAAGUUGGGAGGAAGGGCAGUAAGUUAAUACCUUGCUGUUUUGACGGUACCAACAGAAUAAGCACCGGCUAACUUCGUG